CUUUGGCUCGGGAUAAGGAAGAGAGUGGCGACACGUGUUCUCUGGUGUCCGGGGGGAUGUGCGCUCUCGCCCCCGACGGGUGGCAGACCCCCGGCCCGCAGGGUGAUGCUGGCCCGCGGCGCCGGUUCCCGCCCCGGGGCGGGAACGAAGCUCCGGGGGCCCGGAAUUCUGGGGCCGCCCCCCGCCUAGCAACUGCGCCUUGGACGGAGGAGACAGAAGCAGGCACCAAAAUCGGGGUUUUUCUCAGACAAUAGGAGCUCUCCAGACCCCGGCGAUUGGAUGAAGGCAUGCAACCUUUCUUUGUUUCUUCUUGUCGGUGACCAUAUUCGGGUGACCUCAGUUUGGGGGAUCCAGCACACAGAUGGAGAAGUGAUUCUUCAACUCAUCGAAGUACCUACGGCGGUCAAAGCGUUACGGCUCUGCUUUGGAGGGGCUGUCAAGAAAAGUGGUCCCUGGUGUUCCAGGGUUUGGGAUGCAGAGAGGUAGACGGCAGGAAGUGCCCUGGACCCCAGGAAGGAGCGUUUCCAGUGGGACGUGGCAGAAUGCGGCCCUGUGAGGAAGUGAGCUCGCUGGAAGAUUUGUGUGUGUACUGGGUGAAAACCUGCUGAGCUCGUUUCUGCCUGGUUCUUUGUGCCUGGAAUGUAAUUGUUUUGUUUUAGCACUUUCCGAGUUUGUUCGGUUUAACUCCUGUCUCCAUGGUUUUUGAGUGCUGACCUGCUUAAUGCCCUGUUUUGUGUGAGAAUGUAAAUAAAAGGAGUCAGACCCCAAGGAGACUUUUCAUACACCUUAUGGGUUCCGUGCCCGGUGGCCACGCACCGAGUGUGUCACCUCGGCCUCCGAGGGGCCACAGUGGGCAGCACGGUUCCCGACUGAAGAGUGACUCACGGUCACACACCCUCAGUGCUGCCAGUGCCCUGGGCCGGUAAGUUCGUCCCUGAGCGCCCCGACCCCGGGCUUCUCGGUGGGCGCAGGACCCCCGCCCCCCCCCCGCCAAGUCAGACUCGUUCGACUUCAGCAGGUCUGAAUAUUCAGAGAAUUUAAAAGUUAACACAAUAAAAUACCCUCCAAGAUCUGAAAUCUACCCGCCCCCCCACGCCUAGUGUGUGCACAUAUCGCAGGGUCAGGAGGCUUUUGUUACAGAGGUUGGGGGCUCCGCUGGCGCUGGCUGGGGCCAUACUUCACAGCAGAGAAUUCUCCCAAGUCCCACUGUCUUUGAAAUGUUUUGCCAUCUGUUAAGGGGCAGAAAGGAAAAACCGGCCUGUGUUUUGAGCUGUGAUGGUGGUGGUUCUGCACGUAGUGCCACCAUCAGAGUGUUCCAUGCUAUCUUCGUGUUGUGGUCAGGGCGUUACAGACAGUACGUACAUUUUGUUAUGCAGGGUAGAAAAGUUAUCUUGGACUUCGGACCUAGUCGUGCCAGAGCCGGGCACCUGGCUGACAUACUUGGCGGCCCUCCCGACUUCACACUCACCUCAUUCGUGCAGCUCAUAUCCCGAGAGGGUCUGGCCCGCUGGUGCCCGCCGAGGCCGAGAUGUAGCUUUGCAACUUCAAGGCCAGCCUCUGGUGGGUCUUUACGGACCGAUAAUCUAAAAGGGCUGCAGGUGCCAGGGGAGGCGUGGCCACCACGGGCAUUGCUGGGAGCGACAGCUCGUCAGCUCAGAUGACCCGGACGGAGCAGUACCGACGGGCAGACGUAGCCCAAGGCUCCACCGCUGGCCUGCAGUGUGACCUCGGGCAGGCCGCCUCCCUGUCUGUGCCUCGCUGCGGUAAAAUGGGGUGAUGGUCGUAAUGACGAUGCUUCCUGCCAGGUGGCGCUCGUGAGGGUUGGGUUAGCCAGUCGUGUGCAGCGCUCAGGCGCCUCAGCUGGCGCUCACGGCGGUCAUUUACGUUCUUCCCUGGAAUUUCAGUGCAUUUUACAAACAAACAUGGAAAGAAGGGCGUGUCGAGAGGACAAAUCGGAAGAGCAGAUCAAAUCCAUAAAACCGAGGCCGUAUACGGUAUACGGUCACGGCUCGGAGUAAGCCGAGGGGAGUAAGCCGAGGGGAGUAAGCCGAGAGGAGUAAGCCGAGAGGUAUAAGCCGAGAGGCACAGAGGGUGCUGAGGACAGCAGGCGGGACCUUCUUGUAAAACCCACAGAACAUAAAAUUUACUGUUUUAACCAUU